AUGUAUUUUUUCCUACAUUAACACCAAUAGCAAAACCAAUAGCCGUGAAAAGAUAAAUGGCAGGCAAUCGAUCUCACACUUGUAUUUCAAACAUACACCGGCAGGUCUAGACAGACCUACUGAUGAAAUUUUGAGUCCCUUAAUUUCGCCAACAUAACAAAAAAAAACUGAAACUAUACUUUUGUGAUCAACAAGUGAGAUCCAAUGCCGAACGUCACUCAUGCGGCCAUUUAUAUUUUAACUCAACAGGAGAAUUUUACGGGUUUGAAGUUUUGGUGUAAGUCCCCCAGCCAACCAUCGCUUUUUGAAUGAAGUUAAACGUGUUUUUCAUGGCUUUAGGGCAGUCCAAGUGUACGGCAUAUGAUAGCCCAAACAAGAGGCAAAGUGCUUGAGGUAGGUUUAGGAGAUCAUCCAUAACAAUGAUUGCAGUAGACGCUGCGUCAAGGUGGAGUCGAUUUGGAGAGCGCAGUACAUCUUCACCGAUGACUUGUGCCCAGGCAUCAUCACCCAAUGCCAGUGGAUCAAAAUCCAUGCAGUGUCUUUCUUGCUUCCGUUUCUGAGGCAGCGAUCCACCUCACAUGGACCGGAUGUUGGGUUCUGCGUUGUUGUUCGGACCAUUGCCAAAUUUUGGCAAAGUGUUGUACGUUAACUUUACUUGAACCAAUCGGUAUGGCUUUUUUCCACUUUCAAUAAACUGUUACUUCGUAAAAGUGAGUAAGAAAGGAUAUUUUUGACAGCUGAGUAAAGUUGACUAAUUAAAUGUAAGUCAGGACAACUAUUACAUUUUACAGUGUACAAGGUAAACCAGUAUAUAUCUGUUUGUGGAAUACAUUGAUAAAUAGAAUAAGAAAUAUUCUGUAAACAAAUAACAAAAUAAAAGCCCCAAGAUAUUUAUUAUUUAGAAAAAUUAAAACUAUUAUCAUUAUCCAGAUAUAAAUAUUGAGCUUUUGGGGGUCAUAUUGACCCUGUUUACACUUUACAUCUUCCUUUUCUCAGUGCGGUGCGUUCAAUUUGAAUCUAAAAUGUCUCCCAACAGUUUCAUUACAUAAAACUGCAUACGUUUUAUAUUUUCGGAAUAGAAUCGGAAAUUGUACUUUUUUGAGGAGAUAUAUAUAGUUUUGCAGAAAAAGAACAAACUCCCAUGUAAGAAUAUUAUAUUAUUCACAGAAUGUCUAUCAUGCAUUCAAAUCAAGGUAGGAGACGUGUGGAAGUCGGCUGUGUGGCUGCAGCGUCCUCAUGUGGACUCAUCUAUAAUAGCUCAGGUGUCCGUUUGGUCAAAAGAAAGAAAUUGUUGAAGAUGGAGCAGUUUGCUGAGACCUUUUGAUCUUUCACCAAUGACCUUUUGUUAUUUCAGCAACCAGAGGAACCUCACGGGAAACGAGUCCAGCACGUUUCCCCCCGGUAAACAUUAUCCUUGACGCACAGUGGCCAGCAUGGGAGCUGAGCCGGGUGGGCAGGUGGGGGCGGAAGCGGCGGUGAAUAAGACACCGACUAAAACUCUCACCAUGGAAACAGAAGAUGCAGGCAAAAUGGCACCGACCACCCAAACACCAGAAAUCUGUUUGUGUCCGACUCCCUGAACACCAAACAUGAAACUCCUGAUCGACGACACCACACUUCGGACCGUGUUUCCCUCGACUUGUUGGACUUGUGUCAUACUUUGUUGCCCUAGAGGACACCGGGCACGUGCACAGACAUUUUGGGAGGCAGGUGCUCAAACUAAAACAAAAGGGCACCCAUCGCCAAAAUUAAGUAAAAAUACUAAUAAAGUAAACAAAUAAAAAAACACAGUAGGAUAUUUUGUUUGUCCUUCUGCUUUUGAAAUCUCUCUUUUCUUAGCAUUUAAUUCAAUCCAAUUUAUUUAUUUUGUAUAGCCCAAAGUCGCAAAUUACAAGAAGCCUGUGGAAUUACACAGAAGUCUGCGGGUGGUGCUGCAAAUUUUGCAUAUGAGAAACGAUGUUGUGCAUAAUAAUCAAAAGCUGACAACACACACACACACAUUUUUUGUACUGUUUUAGCAUAAGCAGCAUUACACUAAUGGUAUACCACAACAUCCCUCACCAGACUGUCAUGUAACUCAACUUAAAACUCAAUAUUAAACAAAACUAGUGACCGUGUCUAAUUUGUAAAACUGUCAUUACAUUUUCUGCCUGUGUGUCUGCAUCUCUCUCUUCAUUAAACAUGACAGCUGGACAAAAGGCUUUGAAAUCA